rnacentral:lncRNA from 1 species
GGGACUAACCCAUCUAUCAAUAUUUACUUCCUAUAUUAAUAUAUUUACUUCCUAUAAUCUAUAACACUCCCCCCCUCAAGUUGGAGCAUAAAUGUUAAUCAUGCCCAACUUGUUACAUAUAUAAUCAACUCGUCCCAUACAGCUUAACAGAUACCGAAUUUAUAAACCCAAUUUCUUCCAAUAAUUAACGUACCCACAAAACUUCAGAAACGGUUUUUGCCAUGACUCGGCAUUUAGAUUCAGCACUAGAACGGGAGACCACAUUUUCUCAACUUGGUAAAACGCCUUACUGUGAAUAGAAUUUCGAAUCCAUGAACAGUACUGGUGACUCGUGAACAGUACCCUAUGAACAGUACUCGUGAACAGUACCCGAGGAACAGUACUCGUGAACAGUACCCCCGAUGAACAGUACUCGUGAACAAUACCCCCGAUGAACAGUACCCGAUGAAUAAUUCCCGUGAACAAUACUUGAUGAAUAAUUCUCGUGAAAAAUACCUGAUGAACAGAGCCUUAAGUCUCCAAGUGUUACCCUUUAUGGAUAACCCAAAUGAACAUAGCUCUAAGUCUCCAAGUGUUACCCUUUAUGGAUAACCCAAAUGAACAUAAACCUAAGUCUCCAAAUGUUACCCUUUAUGAAUAACCCAAAUGAAUAGAACCCUAAGUCUCCAAAUGUUACCCUUUAUGAGUAACCCAAAUGAAUAGAGCCCUACGUGAGUAACCCAAAUGAACAGAGCCCUAAGUCUCUAAAUGUUACCCUUUGUGAAUAACCCAAAUAAACAGAGCCCUAAGUCUCCAAAUGUUACUCUUUAUGAGUAACCCAAAUGAACAGAUCCAAAUGUUACUCUUUAUGAGUAACCCAAAUGAACAGAGCGCUAGGUCUCCAAAUGUUAUCCUUUAUGAGUAACCCAAAUGAACAGAGCCCUAAGUCUCCAAAUGUUACCCUUUGUGAGUAACCUAAAUGAACAGAAUCUUAAGUCUCCAAAUGUUACUCUUUUAUGGGUAACCCAAAUAAAUAGAGCCCUAAAUCUCCAAAAGUUACUCCAAAAGUUACUCUUUAUGGGUAACCCAAAUGAAUAAUAUCAAAAAGACGCCUUCACCCAGCACCCAAACGGCAAACGAAUCACAAAUCUGACAAGAGAGCUGCAAGGCGACUUUGGCAUCCUUUCUAGGUGAACGGUGAGAGACAAAUAUUAUCCUAGAUGGAUAACACAAAAGAACAGGAGUCCUGAGUCACCAAAAUUUAAAACUUGACGAGAAAGAAAAUAAAUCUCUACAAACCUGGCUCUGAUACCAUGUAGAAAUAUAAUAUUUGAUGUUGUUUUUCAUAAUAAAUAUUACAAUCUAUUUAUAUAUAAAAGACGGUAUCUAAAUAGGAAAGAAAAUCGAGUCUAUAA